AAAGACAACAUAAAAAGGACCAAGGAGUUGAGCUAAGUGUACUUUGAGCAAACACUCUCGAGGAAGCAGAGAAAGAGCUAGGAAGGCAUUUUUAUCAGGUAUGUCCAGAACCUAUCGUGUUUUAAUUUCUUGGAGGGUAUAUAAUAUACAGACAGGCAAGCUUGAAACAUUAGGUUCCAAUAACGAACAAAAAUUGCACAAUAAAUUCCACAUAAAAAUUAUCCUUGAUUCUCAUUUUGAAAAUGUCGCGAUCGUGUCGUUUGAAAAUUUAAGGCGGGAGGUAUAUAUAUAUAUAUAUAUAUGUAUAUAUGUAUCAACUUUUUGUGUCAAAACAUUUCAAAAUUAAAAAGCAGUAAUUAUGUUUCUGUACCCUGAAAUUUUGGAAGUCGACUGUCACAAGCCGAAUAAACGUACUACAUUUUAUGUUUUGUUACUUAUCGAACGAAUACCACCUCUCCACGCCCUACUCCCAACUUGACGUUGUAACUCAAUUGAUAAAGCGUCGGACUAGUAAACCAUAGGUAUAAACAAGCUCGAUUACCAGGCCAGUAAUGUUUUCUCCACUUGCCAACCCAGUUUGGGCACGGGGUAGUACCUAUAAUAUCAAUUAAAAUACCGUGCCCUAACUAUGUAUAACUUGAAAACAAAGUUUUUCUUCAUUACUUAUAGCUGACACGAAGUUUUAUUUUGACAACAUCGACUCGAUCCGCAGAUUCGAAAAUGAAAGUGCUUAGCAACACAUCGAUUGCCAUCAUACUGGUAUUCAGUUUUGUGUUGAUGUUCCCCCUCACAGAAGGUCGAUGGUGCAGGUUUGUAGAACACACAACGGACCGGUGUCGUGGUGAGGAUUACAUGUGGGUUGGUGGGCGGAGAAUCGUUCCUGGCCAGGGGCAAGUCGUCGUUCAUUUACCGCGUCUCCAAAGAGAUGCCAGAUGGCUCUGCGGUACCGACAAAGAACGUGUGGCGUGGGGGUCAGCUGCAAAUGAGUUACGUGUAAAUUUCUGGACUGAUGGUCGAGUCGUGUGGAACAUAUAUUAUUGUCAUAAUUAGUUUAGAUCGAUAACUUAAUUGACAUUUCAUGACAUUUCGAAAGACGCAUAAGUAGAUAUUUUAGGCAUAAUAUUUCACAUUUCUUCACCUAAUGAUGCAUGGAGGGGUAUAGAAGUUACUUUUGUAUUUUGCAAGCUUAAGCUUGAGGAUACUAUAAUUAAUUGUUUUUUUUAACCAGUAGUCUUAAUUGUAGUGCUUUAAAGAAUAAAUAAAUGUAAUCAC